rnacentral:rRNA from 1 species
ACUCCUACGGGAGGCAGCAGUGGGGAAUAUUGGACAAUGGGGGCAACCCUGAUCCAGCAAUGCCGCGUGUGUGAAGAAGGCCUUCGGGUUGUAAAGCACUUUCGGUGGGGACAAACAAGGCGGAGCUAACAUCUCCGUCCCUGAUGGUACCCAAAGAAGAAGCACCGGCUAACUCUGUGCCAGCAGCCGCGGUAAUACAGAGGGUGCAAGCGUUAAUCGGAAUUACUGGGCGUAAAGGGUGCGUAGGUGGUUUGUUAAGUCAGGCGUGAAAUCCUCGGGCUCAACCUGGGAACUGCGCUUGAUACUGACAGACUCGAGUGUGGUAGAGGAUAGUGGAAUUCCCGGUGUAGCGGUGAAAUGCGUAGAUAUCGGGAGGAACAUCAGUGGCGAAGGCGGCUAUCUGGACUAACACUGACACUGAGGCACGAAAGCGUGGGUAGCAAACAGGGUUAGAUACCCUGGUAGUCCACGCCCUAAACGAUGGGUACUAGACGUCGGGAAGCUUGUCUUCUUGGUGUCGCAGCUMACGCAAUAAGUACCCCGCCUGGGGAGUACGSUCGCAAGAUUAAAACUCAAAUGAAUUGACG